UUGAAAAUAUAAAAAAAGAGAAACAAAAGCCGGAGCCAGCGACCUCGCUCGAAUUUAUUCAAUCUUGGCGACAAGACUGAGUGUUUGCAGAACCAUAGGAGGAUCGUUGGAAGAGACGAAGACAGGGUAAUGGCUUAAACACACGAAUUGUAUUUAGGAAGACGUGCCGGCCAAACUAUUGCAAGUUUGACUGUUCAGCAUAAUGUUAGAACAACAAACUCUUCACCUAUGCACGGUCAUCAGCCCCCGCCAGGUCCUGGCCUGUCAUUUGUGUCACAAGGAAGUACCACACCUGGUCAUGUGUCAGGAAUUGGAGAGAUAACAGCUUACUUAGAAGUAAAUUGAAGGCAGCCAACAAUUGGACGGUGGUGCCAAUCAAUGAAAAGAAGGGAUACACGUACAUGCACUGAGUACACAGAGAUCAUCAAGGAAAAAACCCUUCGAUCAAAGUUCCUUUUUGAUUCAGCUUAUCCAAAGCUGAUUGCCUCUACAAUUGCCCCUUAUAUAUCCACCUGCGGCUAAUGAGGAGCUGCAAUAUCCAAUAGGUCAAGGGCAAGCAACCUGGAAACAAUAUGAAGAUUUACUCAUACAAAUUGGUACAUGGUGUAUGUAACUAUGUUGUUUUAACUAACUUCAACAUACCAUUAUUAUGAAUUAAAAAAUUGACAAAGCUGAAAUCAAUGAUAACUGUU